GAGAGUAUAGCUCAGGGGUAGAGCACGUGCUUAGCAUGCAUGAGGUCCUGGGUUCAAUCCCCAGCACCUCCA
rfam:Camelus ferus unplaced genomic scaffold scaffold2192, whole genome shotgun sequence.